UACGGGGGGGGCAAGCGUUGUUCGGAAUUACUGGGCGUAAAGCGCGCGUAGGCGGCUUUGUAAGUUAGAGGUGAAAGCCCGGGGCUCAACCCCGGAACUGCCUUUAAGACUGCAUCGCUUGAAUCCGGGAGAGGUGAGUGGAAUUCCGAGUGUAGAGGUGAAAUUCGUAGAUAUUCGGAAGAACACCAGUGGCGAAGGCGGCUCACUGGACCGGCAUUGACGCUGAGGUGCGAAAGCGUGGGGAGCGAACAGG
rnacentral:rRNA from 1 species